AGCGUUAAAACACCAGUUCCCAUACGAUCACUUAAGCAAUGUCGAGCCGGAUCAGUAACUGGAUGGGUGACCGCUUGUGAAUACCUAGUGCAGUAAG